rnacentral:piRNA from 1 species
UGCAAGUGGGACCCUGAGGGCUGGUUC